GAGUCAGCUGACUAUGAACUGAAACCUCUACAAACAGUAUAAUUGGUCUGGAUGAAUUUUAAAGUACUAAAUUGAAGAGGAAUGGGACAGAUGAAAACAAGAAUCAUGACUCGAUCUCCCACCUUGGAACUGACAAAUCAAUGCGAGCUCCUUGAAACUUACCACCAUGAUCUAAAAAUAUAUUCUAUAUUAAAAUGGAUACUCCCAACAGUU